rnacentral:rRNA from 1 species
GGGGAAUAUUGGACAAUGGGCGCAAGCCUGAUCCAGCCACGCCGCGUGAGUGAUGAAGGCCUUCGGGUUGUAAAGCUCUGUGGGGAGGGGCGAAAACGGCCGGUAAGAAACGACCGGUCCUUGACGGUACCUCCUUAGCAAGCACCGGCUAACUCUGUGCCAGCAGCCGCGGUAAUACAGAGGGUGCGAACGUUGCUCGGAAUUACUGGGCGUAAAGCGCGUGUAGGCGGACGGGUAAGUCAGAUGUGAAAUCCCCGAGCUCAACUCGGGAACUGCAUUUGAAACUGCUCGUCUUGAGUAUCGGAGAGGGUGGCGGAAUUCCUGGUGUAGAGGUGAAAUUCGUAGAUAUCAGGAGGAACACCGGUGGCGAAGGCGGCCACCUGGACGGUCACUGACGCUGAGACGCGAAAGCGUGGGGAGCAAAC